rnacentral:lncRNA from 1 species
GCUUGUACUUUAAGAGGACCAGUGGCAAGUCCAAUCAACUUUAAAAUCUCUUGUUUUUUUUCUUCACAUGUGUGUCUCGCGAGGCAAGGACCUAGUUAUCCUUCAAUCGUUAUUCCUUUGUUUCAAAAGGAGCCAGCAUCACUUCUUUUUUCGAUCAUGUUCAUUUGAUACAUUUUCUACAAACAUAAAAUUCAUAAUAAGCUCAAAACAUUCAAAAUAAUAAUCUAACAAUACAAUUAUGCAUAGAAUAUAAAUCAAUAAGUUAUUAUUUGCCAAUAACAUAGUAUAAAUAUAAAAAAAUAAUUCUAAGAGAUCAAAGAGCCUAGCAACUGAUUACAUAUGUGAAAUGAAAGAGGGAAGUUGUUAAUGAGAUAGAGAAUGAAUAUGUACCUUUAAGCCUUGGAAGGAAUUUAAUUAGUUGUAG